UGGGGGUCUAUUCACUGAGGUAAACUCAAAGAUCCAUGAGUUGAAGUUAAAAAUUGAGAAAGAAAAGUUGGCUAUGUUGCUUGGAUGGAUUUCUGAUCUCCCAUGCUUUAGUAAAUGGUUUUCUUACAAGAUAAGAUAUAGAUGGAAGCGUGCCAAUUAAUUCUGCCCUUGACUUACAAACUGCAAACAAAACUUUGAAGUGUGAGAAUAUCUUGAAAAAUGAAACUUCCAAGUUUGACGAGCUUCAUCACAAUCCAUGAAAGAUAAGUUCAAAAGACGCUAUUUCCAAGUUAGGAGGACAAGGAGAGACUCUACAUGCGAUAGGAACAACUAAGUAAGGAAACAGAA